GCGUUGCACCAGAAGCAAUGGAUUCUAGACUUUGCCGGAUGCGCUACAGCGCCUGCUCUUACACAAUAUGUUCUUCUCUGGCACAAACUAGCCAAUGUUCAUCUAAUCCAGGGAGUUGAAGACCGAGUCUUGUGGAGAUGGGACGCCUCUGGAGUUCUGCUCGUUCAGCCUACUGCGCCGUCUUUUGUGGAGCCACAAAGUUCGCUGCCGCUAAGCUGAUUUGGAAAU
rnacentral:lncRNA from 1 species